rnacentral:lncRNA from 1 species
GUGGAGGAAGAGGAGGAGCAGAGGGGUGAGAGAUCCUGGAGGACGAAGUGGCGGGCAGCCAAAGGGAAGGGUGGCAGCACAGCCUGGUGCCUCAGUGUCGGUGCUGCUGGGCAGACCCAGGAAGCGGCAACAGCAAAGAUCAUGAAAUCGAGCUCUGAGACCCGACUCUGAAUCCCAGACAGCGCACACACUAACUUCCGACCUGGGGUAAGUUACACAUCAUGCCCUCUUGGAGGUCUGCACAACCAACACAGUGGUGAUACAGGAA